GGGGAAGGGUAGCUUGCUACCUGACCUAGCGGCGGACGGGUGAGUAAUGCUUAGGAAUCUGCCUAUUAGUGGGGGACAACAUUCCGAAAGGAAUGCUAAUACCGCAUACGCCCUACGGGGGAAAGCAGGGGAUCUUCGGACCUUGCGCUAAUAGAUGAGCCUAAGUCAGAUUAGCUAGUUGGUGGGGUAAAGGCCUACCAAGGCGACGAUCUGUAGCGGGUCUGAGAGGAUGAUCCGCCACACUGGGACUGAGACACGGCCCAGACUCCUACGGGAGGCAGCAGUGGGGAAUAUUGGACAAUGGGCGAAAGCCUGAUCCAGCCAUGCCGCGUGUGUGAAGAAGGCCUUUUGGUUGUAAAGCACUUUAAGCGAGGAGGAGGCUACUGAGAUUAAUACUCUUGGAUAGUGGACGUUACUCGCAGAAUAAGCACCGGCUAACCUCUGUGCCAGCAGCCGCGGUAAUACAGAGGGUGCGAGCGUUAAUCGGAUUUACUGGGCGU
rnacentral:rRNA from 1 species